UGUCCAGACUCCUACGGGAGGCAGCAGUGGGGAAUAUUGCACAAUGGGGGGAACCUUGAUGCAGCAACGCCGCGUGGGUGAAGAAGUACUCCGGUAUGUAAAGCCCUGUCAGCAGGGAAGAAAAUGACGGUACCUGACCAAGAAGCCCCGGCUAACUACGUGCCAGCAGCCGCGGUAAUACGUAGGGGGCAAGCGUUAUCCGGAUUUACUGGGUGUAAAGGGAGCGUAGACGGCAAGGCAAGUCUGGAGUGAAAGCCCGUGGCCCAACCACGGGACUGCAUUGGGAACUGGCGCGCUGGAGUGCCGGAGGGGUAGGCGGAAUUCCUAGUGUAGCGGUGAAAUGCGUAGAUAUUAGGAGGAACACCAGUGGCGAAGGCGGCCUACUGGACGGUGACUGACGCUGAGGCUCGAAAGCGUGGGGAGCAAACAGGAUUAGAUACCCUUGUA
rnacentral:rRNA from 1 species